rnacentral:rRNA from 1 species
UGGCGGACGGGUGAGUAAGCGUGGGUAACCUGCCUCAUACAGGGGGAUAACAGUUAGAAAUGACUGCUAAUACCGCAUAAGACCACAGCACCGCAUGGUGCAGGGGUAAAAACUCCGGUGGUAUGAGAUGGACCCGCGUCUGAUUAGGUAGUUGGUGGGGUAACGGCCUACCAAGCCGACGAUCAGUAGCCGACCUGAGAGGGUGACCGGCCACAUUGGGACUGAGACACGGCCCAA